rnacentral:lncRNA from 1 species
GCUUAAAAUAAAGACAACUUUCUUAAACUUUUGUGUUAUUUUUAAAAUAGACUUGUCUACAUAUGGAGGAAGUUUCUUUAUAUUUGUAUUUGUAAUUUUUAUAAUAUUUGCAAUUUUGUCUACUCUAUAAGGUAUUUGAAUUAUCCGGAGGAAUCAAGUGCAAGCCCCAGAAGUCAGCAUAUGGCUCUUUCCCCACAAAAACAAGCAAACAAACAGUCACUUCCUAAUCCUCAGAAUGUGUGAUUAUGUUACUUUACAUGGCAAAAGGACUUUGCAGAUAUGAUUAAGAAACAUGCAGUUGCAAAGAACAGAACUAAGAUUUCCUGGUCCAGAGUCCAGCAUAACCUCUAAAGCACAUUCCCUGAGUACGGGCAGAGCAUCAAGACUUCUUUCAAAUUCACCAUAUUUAUUAGUAUUGCCACUCCAGAAGUCUCUCCAGACCAUUACCCAGCUCUUGUUUCUACUCAAUCUCCUCUUGAGAAUGCAAUUCAGCCAGAGGACUUGACUCUAUCUCUGAAGUACCAACUUAGUUUGGGAAAUGAUCUGUUGGAUUACACUUAUGGGGCAAGGGCACCAGAGACAAUCCUAAUUUGUUGUUUUAUAAGAAUGUCCAACCAUCAGUUCCUCAGAUGUUAUUAUCCAAAUAGGAACUGAAAUGUGUUUUCCAUUCAUAUACUUACUCUUAGUUUCUGAGAACCAAUGAGCUGUACUCUUUAUUAAGCAUCUUUUAAAAAAUAUUAUUUUAUUUAAAUUCAAUUUAUUAACAUAUACUACAUUACUAGUUUCAGACAUAGAACUCAUUCAUCUGUUGCCUGUAACACCCAGUGUUACAUUGCAUGCCCUCCUUAAUGUCCAUCACCCAAUUACUCAAUCCCCCCACCCACUUGCCCUCCAAUAACCCUCAGUUUUUUCCUAUAGUUAAGAGUCUCUUAUGGUUUGUCUCCCUCUCUGAUUUCAUCUUAUUUUAUUUUUCUCUCCCUUCCCCUUUGAUUCUGUUUUGUUUCUUAAAUUCCACAUAUGAAAAAAAACACAUAAUUGUCUUUCUCUGAUUGACUUAUUUCGCUUAGCGUAAUACCCUCCAAUUCCAGUUUGCUGUUUUACAGUAGAGUUGAAGUCUAAGAGAAGGGUUUUUCUUCUCCUUUAUUUGAAAUACCAACAUGAAUAAAUGUUUUAUAAUAUUUUUUUUAAUUUUUUUU